GUGUGACACGUGCAUGCACCUCUAUAAAUGCCGUACCGGUGCUCAUCACUCGCUGAACCAGCAGAACAAAGCACACAACAAGUUACAUCGACUUCUUCAUCAUCAUCAACUCAGACGACCCUCGUGAAAGAAGAAGAAGAUGAGCUCCUCCGCGGAAGCAGCUGAGUGCGGCGGCGGCAAGACGUCGUGGCCGGAGGUGGUGGGGAUGAGCAUAGAGGAGGCCAAGAAGGUGAUCCUCAAAGACAAGCCCGACGCAGACAUCCACGUGCUGCCGGUCGGCACGCCGGUGACCAAGGAUUUCCGCCCCAACCGUGUCCGCAUCUUCGUCGACACCGUCGCCGAGACGCCCCAUGUGGGCUAGCUCUGCUCAUAGCUUUCUUGCUCAAAGCAUCAUGCGUGCCAAAUAAAGCCAUCUUCUAUAUGAA